CCUACGGGAGGCAGCAGUGGGGAAUAUUGGACAAUGGGCGAAAGCCUGAUCCAGCAAUUCCGCGUGUGUGAAGAAGGCCUUCGGGUUGUAAAGCACUUUAGUUGGGGAAGAAACAGCUUGGCCACACCAAGCCUUGACGGUACCCAAAGAAUAAGCACCGGCUAACUCUGUGCCAGCAGCCGCGGUAAUACAGAGGGUGCAAGCGUUAAUCGGAUUUACUGGGCGUAAAGGGUGCGUAGGUGGUUUGUAAGUCGGAUGUGAAAGCCUGGGGCUCAACCUCAGAAUUGCACUCGAUACUGCAAGACUAGAGUUCGGUAGAGGGCGGCGGAAUUCCCGGUGUAGCGGUGAAAUGCGUAGAUAUCGGGAGGAACAUCAAUGGCGAAGGCAGCCGCCUGGGCCUGAACUGACACUGAGGCACGAAAGCGUGGGUAGCAAACAGGAUUAGAUACCCUGGUAGUCCACGCUGUAAACGAUGAGAACUUGACGUUGGUUCGUUUUACGAAUCGGUGUCGCAGCUAACGCGAUAAGUUCUCCGCCUGGGGAGUACGGCCGCAAGGUUGAAACUCAAAUGAAUUGACGGCUGAGAGNGCGACGACGACGACGAGGGAGGAGG
rnacentral:rRNA from 1 species